CCGUCGUGGCACAUUGACAUGCAAUGUAACUGUGCAGAGGUGUCAGUUGGAAUUGGGGGUACUGAGUGCUUCUGAAAAUCAGGUCCCAGGUGCCUCAAGUCAAACUCCUAACUCGGAGGCAUCCAAAAUCAGUGGCCACUUUUAAAAAUUGCAGUCCAAGGUCACACACGGAGACAGUAUCAGUACUGGUGAUGUAACCUUUCCUAGCGCCCGGUCCCACGUGUCCUGGGCCUCCUCGGGCUGUCACGACGACAGUUUUCUGGGUGGUUGUUGUGAUUGUUCAUUUACAUGUAAGACGUGUUGACAAUUUUCGUGUAGUUCUUUUCUUUCCUGUGCAAUUAGAUGCAAUGAUUAGAGCCUCGUCUGUAGUACGCUGCAGGCUUCUCCUGUAAUUCCGUUCUGAGUGCGGCAGGUGGAUGGAUACAACCUCCCACGCUGCUGCUCAGACGCCUGCCUGAUUAUUCUGUCUUGAGCCUGUCAAAUUAUCCAGUGGGUGUCUGACUCCAGAACCAUUUUCCAAUAGGAAUCCCACCUGCAUGCCUGGGGGGGACUGGAGGCGUGAUCACACUGGGAACAGAGCAGCUAAGUAUGGCUGGUGCCAUGGCAAAGAUAUGGCUACAAAGGGCUUUCCGUCCCCUAUAUACAUGACUUAGUCUCUAACGGAGGAGCCAUUGAGUUGAGUGCCCUGGUAGAUUACAGGCUAGAACUGCCGCUCCUGAGAGCGUGACAUUGAGCACCUCUUUGCUUAAAUGAAUGAACAUGGAUACUUCAGCAGUAAAUGGUAAUUAAUUUCCCUUCUUCGUUUUGUUAUGCAAAUAGUUUGAAUGCUCAUUAGCUAGCGGGAUUAUGAGACAACUGCUCUGGAAUCAACUGGCAGCAGACAAGAUCUGAUGAGUUUAUUGUAAUUGGAUAAGGGUGAAGGGAGUGGGGGGAAGAUAUGGGACAGAUGAAAUAUCUUCCCCCAGCUGAGACAGAGCAGCUCUGACUGAGGAUGUGUCUACACUGCAACGUAAACCUGGGCUCCGACUCAGGCUCAAGUCCUAACCCCGCUUCUGUCUACACAUAAAUCUCUCGAACUUGGGCUCAGACCCAGGGUCCGAUGACCCUCUCAAGGGUGGAAGGUUCGAGCCCAUCAAGGUAGGACCCAGGUUUCAAGUUCUAUUGUUUUUGCAGUGUAGAUACAGUCCCCCUUCCAGGCUCGGGUCCCUGGAGUCCGCCAAACGCAUCCCACAAUUCAGUGGGCCAACUUCCUUUGUCCUCUCUCUCCCACGAAUUGCCAGUUGACUCCAGGGAAAUGGAAACACCUCAGCCUUGCUCUAGUCCAGCAGAUCGGCUUUUAACCCUUCCAUUUUAUUCUGACCUCUGAGCUGCAAACACAACCUAGGAGAACCUUCGGCAUUUGCCAGAAGUCCUUCACAAAGCGCACUGCCCUGUGGUCGCGGGAACACCGCCAGAUUUUGGUUAGUCUCUGGCGUGAGGCAGCAAAACAACUGAUUUUAGUCCAAGUACCAGGAAUGACCAGUCAUACCCCCAAAGAGCGAAGAAGCAGAUGAGGCUGGAAAUUUACCGGACCGAGGACCAGUGCAGGGAAUGGAGGAAGUGGCUCAAGACAAAGUACCUGAAAACCAGGAACCACAGCUGUACCUCUGGCAGCUCGCGGACACCGUGCCUGUUUUGUGAUGAGUUUGAUCAAGUGCUGGGGACUGCGUCGAGCACCAAAGCCACUGGCGGGGCAGGAUCACCUGCUCAGGAUGGCGCCCUGCGAGCCCCAGAAGCCAGCACAGAAAUCGAUGGGAGCCAGCAGCGGGCACCUAAUGAGGCAAAUGAAGUGACUCUGCUGAUGAAACGGAUCCCAGAGGAGGCUUUGCCACAGGUGCAGCUGCAGCACAUCCUGGGGCCAUCCUCAGUGGAGCUUUUUCAUGCCCCCCCAGAGGAACAGCUACGGAACCGGCCGCACAAAUGGGAGAGAGCGAGAAAUUGCCCCUGAGCCUGGCCCCUCGACCUCUCCAGGUGGCAAUAUCUCCGCAGCUCGCCCACAUGCAGAAGCCUGGCUCACCGGACCUUCACGGAGUGUUCCAAGCGGAAGCUUUUCCGGGAUUAAUUUAUGGUUGGAGUUCUGGACAGGGCCAACAAGCAGGUCGAGUACCAAAGGCGAAGGGACUUGGGCGAGAGGAAAAACAUGCCAAGAGAGGCAAGCGGAAAGGCUCGGGCUGGCUUCACAGCUCGAGGACAGGGGGAUGACACAAAAGCAGGCACUUGCUUCGCAGUUCCUGGAACAGGAAUGGCGGUUAAAGGAGGAAGGUAGAGGGCUACAGAGAGAAUUGUUUGAGCGGCUGCUGUCUCUAAUGGCUUCCAGGUUGCCAGCUGCUGCUGCACUAUGGGCUGCAUCCCCUCCGUGGUACCCUGCCCUGCACUCCAAGAGCAGCUUGGACAACUCCAUGGCUGGGUGGCCCAUGCAGUAGGGCCCUAUGAGUGCCUGAACAGGGCAAAUGUGCCCCAUGCAGUCCUCACUGCUGAACCCCUCCCCUAUGGAUGCUUCCACCCCCCUCCCCCAUGGCAAACAGGGAAAGGAAAACGGGUCUCAGGGGAGAUGCAGUAGCAGGUGGGGUUGUCUUGUACCUUUUUUGCACGUGUUUAUGUGCUUUAUUCUUGGUAACUUUUAAAGGUUUGGGUGUUGCUGGUGUUUUGGGGUGUUAAGGGCAACUGGCCUGCCCUGCAAGAGUUUCAUAUUGGACUGGCCAAUACAUGUGUCAAAAUAAAAGUUUUGAUUUCA